GCGGAGGAGCCGCGGACUCCUCAUCUGUAGUGAGCGAAGGAUCGAGGUGUAUCAACAUAUCUCAGCAUCGGUGUCAACAAAGACAAUUGAUCGUCGAAGUAACACAAAAAUUCAUCGGUCUGAAGAUGAGACCAUUGGGGUUUGGUUUGAGAAAAAUGAUUGGGUUGAUUGAGAAGAUGGAAGAGUGGGGAAGGGAAAGGGAAAGGGAAAGGGAAAGGGAAAGGUAAAGAAACUGAAAGUGGAAGAAGAAGAAGAGG
rnacentral:lncRNA from 1 species